GAUGAACGCUGGCGGCGUGCCUAAUACAUGCAAGUCGAGCGAACAGACGAGGAGCUUGCUCCUCUGACGUUAGCGGCGGACGGGUGAGUAACACGUGGAUAACCUACCUAUAAGACUGGGAUAACUUCGGGAAACCGGAGCUAAUACCGGAUAAUAUAUUGAACCGCAUGGUUCAAUAGUGAAAGACGGUUUUGCUGUCACUUAUAGAUGGAUCCGCGCCGCAUUAGCUAGUUGGUAAGGUAACGGCUUACCAAGGCAACGAUGCGUAGCCGACCUGAGAGGGUGAUAGGCCACACUGGAACUGAGACACGGUCCAGAAUCAUAAGGGAGGCAGCAGUAGGGAAUAUUCCGCAAUGGGCGAAAGCUUGACGGAGCAACGACGCGUGAGUGAUGAAGGUCUUCGGAUCGUAAAACUCUGUUAUUAGGGAAGAACAAAUGUAUACGUAAAUAUGCUCGUCUUGACGGUACCUAAUAAGAAAGCCACGGCUAGCUACGUG
rnacentral:rRNA from 1 species